GGUAGGCGUCGGAGGAGGGCGCUCCUCCGGUGGCGGUCGGAGGAGAGCGCGACGAGGAGGGCGCUGCUCCGGCGGCGGUCGGAGGAGGGCGCGACGAGGAGGGCGCUGCUCCUGCGGCGGUCGGAGGAAGGGGUGGUAGCCGGUGGGGAGGGUAAGUGCGGGGGGUAGUCUUAGGAGGGGACCUUGGGAUCGGUCGGCGUACCUUGGGUACCGCGGCGGGUCGAGCGGCGGGAGCCGGCAGCCUGGCAGCGCUCCGUUCGCGUGCAGGAGGCGGAUCCUGCGCGGCUCCGGUUGGACCUCCGGUGCCAGUGGUGCACGGGCGCGUUCCCGUGGUGUAGGUCCUUCUUCUUCGAACACGAGUUCCGCAGCCGCCCGUUCUUCGUCCGUGGUGUAGGCCCUUCUUCUUCGAACACGAGUUCCGCCGCCGCCCGUUCUUCGUCGUCUUAACCACUCUGAACUCUCCGAUCCCAAACAGAAGCAGGUCACUGGACGUCCGAACUACACGUAUAUACACUGAUAAAAGAAUACUACUUGAACUUCUACCACCAAUUCCAUAAGUACCACCUCCCUUUCCAACUACAACCAGAACCAGGAUAAAUCCGCGUACCCUCAUUCGAACUCGACGUCUGCUCGAGUCUGAGGUAUCCUCCUCGUACAAGGCGACGCGGAAAGGGUGGAGGAGCCGCGUGUCCCCCUACCGAUCGAGGCGCGUCGUCGCCCCACAACUAGUGUUCUAUGAUUUCCCAAAGAGAUAAUCAUCUCCAUACUUCCAAGCUCUUCCCUGCUUUCUACUUCUUAAACGGACGUCUUUUAUAACUUGUUUUUCGAGGUCUACCGAAGGAUCCCCACUACGCGAAGUCAAACUCUAACCCUACAACCGAAAGAGAUUGGACGGAAGGAACUCAGACUUCAACCCAAGUGUUCGUUCGUCCGGCGUCUCCUGUACCGUGACCGGCACAAGUUGGCACGGGACUUCGAAAGACCUCGUCCAUACACGGAGACACACACAGAAGAGAUUGAAGUAUAGCGACCUAGAUACCUAGUAAGACGUGCAACCCGAACAACGACCGACGAUCGGACCGAACAUUCUCCUACGAGGGGACGAAACUCAGGUUCCAUGUGUUUACUAGUUUUCUUGUGGACUUACUUUUUUCGAGAAGGUAAACAUCACUUCAAAGACAUCUACAUUAGAGAUAAAGAAAAUGUACACCUAUGACAACAAAACUUCGUUUAAAGUGGUAAUUAAAAAGAGUCCAAAACCUUGGAUAUUAGUCAAAAAAAUAGUCCAAAACAAACCAGAUAAUAGUCAAAAAGAGCGAAUAAGAGAGAUUAGUAUUUUCCUCGGACUUUUAGACGUAAAUGUAAACGUCUAUGACUCCUUUUCAGAUUGUAUAGGUCUCCGUGGUUAACCCUCUCCAUGUUGUAUACGUAAAGUUUCUCUUGACCUGAGGCGAUGAAGACUGAAGUGGUUCCAACUUUAAAAUUUAAGUCUUAAGUCUUGUAAGGGAAAUGGAAACACAUUUUACUGGAAUACUAGAAUGAGAUUUCCCUACUAGUUAAGUACAACAGAACGUAAAGUCAUCAUUUCGCAAUAUCCAUCCAACAAUCUCGUGUGAGAUUUAAGGUGGUUAAAGAAAGGUACCGAAUAUACACUGGUUUACGAGGUCUAACAUAUACUGUAGGAAAACAAAUGUGUUCGAAUUGACAAAGGAUACUCCGUCGAUGACUCUCACUACUUAUAUCGUAACGAACCGUCAACACGAAAUCAGUAACCAUACUAUCUUCGUAAUGUAUCACGUAACCACUAUUUUGAUAACAAGAGAGUUUGACCAUUAUAACUAGACAAGAGAACUUACUACAUUUCAAUUACCUAGAAUACACAAAGUACUAUCAAGUGUUAUAAGAGAAUUAAUUGUAAGACUCAUAUUAUAGAAUUUGUUAAACCAAUCUUCAUUUGACCCUACUUUUGUACACAUCAAUUUAUACUUACGUAUACAAUAAAGCUCAAUUUAAAGUUAGGUGUAUGGCCAACAAUUCUUCAUAAUGUACUAAAAAUAAAAGAGUUAACAUACCUUCACAAUCAAGAAAGGUCCAGAAACCUUAUUGUUAACAUGUAAAAGAAUAAGUACGAUAAACCUGGCUUAAACGUCUUAGCAAUUUCAGAGUCGAUCCUAAAACUGGACCAAUGGACCAAGACGGAUUAGAAGAGAAAUAAAACCGAUACCAACAGCCACAUUUGAUCCUUGACCAAUAUACGUGUACAAAAAUUACAAAGUCUGCAUCAUAUAUCGUCUCAAACGAGACACGGUGAAGGGAAAAGGUAGAGAAGAAUGUCGGUUAUAUAUACAAAGAACACGGAUACCAACCACUCGAGUCUUUCUGUCGUUUGGUUUCCGUACAAUGUAUUAACACAUGACAAAACCAUUUCAGACGCACACACUUAAACUAAUACUAUCCGUUCUCACGGAACAACGUACCCGGUUUAUAAAAGGGUGCGCACCAUCAAACAGUUGUAAAAAGGCUUUAGUGCUUACUUAAAAUUUUUGGCCUUAAAUUCUAUUUAUUCAUUUGGAUAUGUUUGUGUUUCUUUCAUUUACUCUUUGUCCUUUUUCUACCUUCUCUUGAAGUACCCGGUCGGGUUUUCAGUGUCGCCGCGAGGUGGUAACUCGGAUGGAAACUCUUCCGGUAACCCGUUCCGAUAAAGCCAGUAGAAGGACAGACUAUGUAUCCAGUUUGGAUCUUCCUAAAUGUGCAAGAGAGAGGCUGUAAAAGGAAACGAGGACGCUUAUGUAGCAGAAGAGCCGCGCCGCCGCGGCGGAACCUAGUCUGGAGACAACGCGGAGAAGCUAAUAGGGAAACCUUGAGUCGAGGUCGCUGGUCAAGUCAGACACGAAUACAAGUUAAUGUAGGUACCAAGGAAAAAGAAGAUUCGAGAUUUCCACGGGUGUAGACCCCUAAAGAACCUAGGUAUAUAAGACAAGUCCAGUGAUACCGCCUUCUUCUCGAGGUCCAAGUACCGAACGGCCCAAGGCGAAGGGCGUGCUUGUCGACAGACACUCGUUAACGGGUCCAGUUAAGUUGAAAUAGUGGAAUGGAGAGGACCUUCCUUCAACUAGCUGUUCCGUCGACUUACCUCGGUGAAUAAUCAUACAAAUCAUCAAUACCGGGGCAUCAACCGAGAGGAAAUAAUACAAGAACCAGAAUAAUGAAGGAGAGGACAUAAGAGCGAAAACCAUAGCUUAAAGUACAGCUCACCGAUAGAAACACGAGAAUACUUACAAGACUUGAAGUACGACCGAAUAUGAACUACAACCG
rnacentral:rRNA from 1 species